rnacentral:rRNA from 1 species
AAUAUUGCGCAAUGGAGGGAACUCUGACGCAGCGACGCCGCGUGAGCGAUGAAGGUUUUCGGAUCGUAAAGCUCUCUCCUUGGGGAGGAAGGCGGCCAUUUAUGGCCACUUGACGGUACCCAUGGAGGAAGCCCCGGCUAACUACGUGCCAGCAGCCGCGGUGAUACGUAGGGGGCAAGCGUUGUCCGGAAUUAUUGGGCGUAAAGGGUGCGUACGCGUCCUUUUGAGUCAGCUGUGAAAGCCCACGGCUCAACCGUGGGAUUGCAUUUGAAACUGGAGGGCUUGAGUAUCGGAGAGGGUAGAAGAAUUCCGAGCGUAGCGGUGAAAUGCGUAGAUAUUGGGAGGAACACCAGUGGCGAAAGCGACUACAUGUACGAUUACUGACGCUGAUGCACGAAAGCUAAGGGAGCAAGAA